rnacentral:rRNA from 1 species
GAUGAACGCUGGCGGCGUGCCUAAUACAUGCAAGUCGAGCGAACAGACGAGGAGCUUGCUCCUCUGACGUUAGCGGCGGACGGGUGAGUAACACGUGGAUAACCUACCUAUAAGACUGGGAUAACUUCGGGAAACCGGAGCUAAUACCGGAUAACAUGUUGAACCGCAUGGUUCAACAGUGAAAGACGGUUUUGCUGUCACUUAUAGAUGGAUCCGCGCCGCAUUAGCUAGUUGGUAAGGUAACGGCUUACCAAGGCAACGAUGCGUAGCCGACCUGAGAGGGUGAUCGGCCACACUGGAACUGAGACACGGUCCAGACUCCUACGGGAGGCAGCAGUAGGGAAUCUUCCGCAAUGGGCGAAAGCCUGACGGAGCAACGCCGCGGGAGUGAAGAAGGUCUUCGGAUCGUAAAACUCUGUUAUUAGGGAAGAACAAAUGUGUAAGUAACUAUGCACGUCUUGACGGUACCUAAUCAGAAAGCCACGGCUAACUACGUG